UGGUCCUGACCUUGUGAUCAAUUGUUACUUAACUUAUACAUGCAAGUCUCCGCACCCCUGUGAGAACGCCCUUACUUAUCUUCUAGAAAUAAGGAGCUGGUAUCAGGCACAACCCUCAGCCCAAAACACCUAGCUUUGCCACAUCCACAAGGAAAUUCAGCAGUGAUUAACAUUGAGUAUAAGCGCCAGCUUGACUCAGUCAAAGUAAAGAGAGCCGGCAAAUAUGGUGCCAGCCGCCGCGGUUACACCACUAGACUCAAAUUGAUUAUCUUCGGCGUAAAGCGUGAUUAAAGUUAAUUAACAAUUAUAGUUAUAUUUUUACUAAGCCGUGACACGCUUGUUUACAAGAGACCCAAAAACGAAAGUUACUGUAUUUUUAACAACUUGAACCCACGACAGCUGGGGCACAAACUGGGAUUAGAUACCCCACUAUGCCCAGCCGUAAACUUUAAAUUACACUCCCCUAUCGCCAGGGAACUACGAGCUAAGCUUAAAACCCAAAGGACUUGACGGUACCCCACAUCCCCCUAGAGGAGCCUGUCCUAUAAUCGAUAAUCCCCGUUCAACCUCACCAUUUUUAGCCUUUCAGCCUGUAUACCUCCGUCGUCAGCUUACCUCGUGAGUGCUUCUUAGUGAGCUCAAUGUAUAUUCAUCAACACGUCAGGUCAAGGUGCAGUAAAUAAAAUGGGAAGAGAUGGGCUACACUCUCUAAUCUAGAAAACACGAAAGACUAUUUAUGAAAUCUAGUCGGAAGGUGGAUUUAGUAGUAAAAAGAAACUAUAGAGCUCUUUUUAACUCGGCACUGGGGUGUGUACACACCGCCCGUCACCCUCUUCGAAGCCAACAGACAGUAACUAACUCAUCUUAGCAUUUUAGAAGAGGCAAGUCGUAACAUGGUAAGCGUACCGGAAGGUGUGCUUGGAAA
rnacentral:ncRNA from 1 species